rnacentral:rRNA from 1 species
AGAACCUUACCAAGGCUUGACAUGUUCCAGACCGCCUCAGAGAUGGGGUUUCCCUUCGGGGCUGGUUCACAGGUGGUGCAUGGUUGUCGUCAGCUCGUGUCGUGAGAUGUUGGGUUAAGUCCCGCAACGAGCGCAACCCUCGUUCCAUGUUGCCAGCGGGUUAUGCCGGGGACUCAUGGGAGACUGCCGGGGUCAACUCGGAGGAAGGUGGGGAUGACGUCAAAUCAUCAUGCCCCUUAUGUCUUGGGCUUCACGCAUGCUACAAUGGCCGGUACAAUGGGUUGCGAUACUGUGAGGUGGAGCUAAUCCCUAAAAGCCGGUCUCAGUUCGGAUUGGGGUCUGCAACUCGACCCCAUGAAGUCGGAGUCGCUAGUAAUCGCAGAUCAGCAACG